GCCUGAUCAGUGACGUUCCCGACCUUAGCCCAGGCGGGAUAAGUGUCCAGGUGGAAGAGGUUAAUCCCCCAUGUAUUGAUGGCCACCAUCACGAUCACCAGGCCAAUGACAUUGAUCCCCAGGCCAGCUUUCACCUGCGGGACACAAAGCAGCAUGCCCUAGUCACUGUGAGCGGGCAGCAGCACGGAUCCAAGUACUCCCCGCCCGAACCUCGCUCCGGACACGAUCACAGCCCACCUGCUUGGCCCUGAUUUGUCCCAGUCACUGUCUGGGGUGCUCGAGUCGGGCCUCGUAGGGGCGGGGGACUGUUGAGAGCAGGGAGGGCUUGGGGCUGGACGAGGGCCAUUAGAAUCAUCUCUACGCUUGUCACACUCUCCCUAUCACAUGGAGGCCUGGAAGGUAUGAACUUGAACCCCAGAUCUUGGAAUGUUAGGUUUCACCAAAGAAGGGUUCUAUAGCUCUGUGAUGGGAAACGUGUUCAUCAAAAUUAAACAGCUCUUUAAAGCAGGAACCUCUCAGAACCUUUAAUGUGCUGAUGUAUAUGGGGGACUUGGAGGAGAGGCUGUGUUCUACCAAGUUUUGCCACUGUUACUUCUUUUCUCCAAAGAACAGCUCAUGCAGGUAGUGAGCCUUGGGUGCACUGGGAGAAACAAGUCAGCUGUCUCUGCUCAGCCCUUCUUCAGGAAGGUGACACAGGCGCCCUGGUUGGCACGGGACCUUCAGUCCCUCCCCUUCACUGCUUCCUCCUGAGGGACUGUCACCUCCAUGGCUCUGACCCCUUCCAUUUGUCAUGGCAUUGACACUCACGGGCAGAAGGGGAACGUGAGGGAUGACAGGAUGGCGGAACCAGGGCCAUUUGGAAAAGUGUAAGGAUGGCUGGCAACCUGCCAGGUAAUAAGCACACAGCAUGUCGCCACAACAAGGCCAGUUGCUGGGAUUAAGUUGGGAAAGUUAGGAGGGGAAAAUGAAGGCUAGGAAAUUGUUCCAAGCAAAUGACUAGACAUGUUGCCUUUCUGCCCUGGAUUUAUGACUCAUCCUGGCCCCCUAGGCCUUUUGGCAUGGAGAGCUGCCCAUGUUUUGUAGCAGGUGAGGGGAGGCAUGUUCUAAAGGAGCAAAGUUAAGGUUGAACAGAGCUGAAAGGGACCACAUAGAGCAUCUGGUUUGAAAGUCUUCACUUAGCGGAUGAGGAAAGUGAAGUCUUAAGUCAGGGACCAGGCUGGGAAUGGAACCCAGAGCCAGCUCACUCACUGCUUGUCAUCCAGUGCUUUUAAAAAUGGCUGAGCACCUGAUUGCAGAGAGGAAGGCAGGGGGAGAGCGGCAGGAGUGCAUGGCAGAGGCAGCGGAGGUGAGGAUUGUGGGAAGUGUGCAGGAAGAGAGUGUUGGAGGGUGUGCACUAAGACAUGAGGGGGACAGAGGGGUGGCUGUGACCUCCCCUCCCUGAAGUAUGAGCAGCUUGAAAGUAGAAAGGAUUUGAAUAUCUGCUGCCAGCCUGAAGCUCUUCUCUUUCUCCAUUUGAUGUUUACAGGGCUGCCGAGAUCAAAUUUGGACUCGAGUGAGAAAUAGAGACACCCACCCCCAGCAGGGGUGAAUGGGCCCUGUUUCAGCCAGCCGGGCCCCAGACUGCAAAUGCAAUAAAGAAGUGGGAGUAGGGCAGGAAGCAAGGUGACACAUUCUAUGAUUCCUCAAACUGAGAGGGGUCCCGAGAAGAAAGCCAGAACAAAGAGUGGAAGACAUCCAGAAGAGCUGAGCUGAAAGUAAAGACCAGCUACUCUUCGUUAUCUCCGCAGGGCUUGCUGUCCCUGGGGUGUUCGAGCUCAGGGGUCACGCAGGGAAAGAUCUCUGAGUGGGAGACGGGACCCGGUGUCUUCCGCUGUAACUUCCAAGGGGAGGAUUCUGUGACCUUGUGAAUUGGUGUAGAUAUAAAUGAUGUUUGGGCCCACAGUGGCCAUCAGAAGUGAGCCAAGAUUAGAAUGGGUUGACAUAUAGAGACAGUAGAGGGAGAAAACAGAACCUUCUCCUGACUGAUGCUUGGGCUGGUUUACUUCAGGAAAGGUUUAGCAGUCCAGGAAAAUCAUUUUUUCCCACCAGCCCCCUUUAAAAGAUCUCAUCCCAGAUCCUCCCAAUCAGGAAAUCGGGAGGCAUUUACGUCAGCUUUUAGCAUACAUUCUCCAAAGGGGCUCACCAUAUGCAAUGCAUAUGGACUGGCGGAGGACAUUUUGCUGUGGGUCAAGGUGGCGCACCUCUGGGCCCUUGCAGACACACCUGUCACCGCUGUCAAAACCUCAGAGGGAGAUGGCUGCAAAAUCCAGUACAUGUUUUGCUUAUAGCAGCGUGGGCCCAUAAAUGAGGUGUGAAUGACUGUGUGCCAUGACCGGGGCACAGCCGGUCUGUACCUCUGUUCCUAGUAGUGCCAGCUUAGAGGCUCAGCAUGGGACAGGAUGUCUAUUCCUGGUUGUACUGGCUCCCUUUCCAGUGAGUUGGGACUUUUCGCCUCUCAGUGCCUGUACAUUCCCCUCCCAGGGCCAUCAUGACUCAUCAGGUAAAGCUGCUGGAAAAAUAUUUGGCCCAGUAAAACAGACUCAAGGGUUACCUUGCUGCCAGAAGCCAGAGCAUAGCCUCCUCCCACCAGGAUGACAAUCUCCCAAGGCAUGGUCUUCUGGAAGUCCUUCCAUGUGAUGAUGGGCUCCAUCCCCGGGGAGGGCUCCUGGUCCUCCCCUGGAUCACAGGUAGACAGGGAGGUAGAGCCGGAUGAACACUAGUGGGGGUGAUUUGUGGAGCUCGGGGCCUCGUGGAGGCACCAGGUGACUUGGGAGGAUGCUCUGCUACUCGGGGGGGCAGGCAGGAGGGCUUGGGUAUUUUACCUGACAGUUCUGACUUGGACCAUAUUUGACCAGAGCCCGCCCCCAAGUUCUUGCUUUGAACUCCUCUCACCAUCAUUCUUUUUCCUGAAACAAGGCUUCUUUGCUGGAAUCAGAAAGAGGAGGAAGCCAAGGAAGAUGGAGACUGUAGCGUCGGUGCAAUAGCCCUUCCUGGCAAAGAGAUGAGCAGAGCUGGGGAGGAGGGUUGGGAAGCCCCGGGGGUACCAGCCUGUCUGGACACAGUGCCUCUCUUCAGACCUUGUCUAGAGGGAAUGUCAACCUUCUUUCUUGCCAGUUGCUGCCGUGCUGUUCAGCAGUGGAUUUGGUGAGCAAUGGUUAAUGUCCGGAGGCAGGGCCUGGCUGGGGUAACUGUCCUAGUGUGAAUUUGUGGGCCUAUUAGGAGGAGUGACCAGGAAUUGUUUAGAUAAAGGAGAAUAGAAAAGGAUGCCCCUCUCUCCUGGGAGGGUCACAAGCUGGCACUGAGAGCUUGUGGCCGGUGGCCCUGGUCCUGGCGCAUAGGGGUGGGGCUAGAGCUUGUGUUUGCCUCUCCUUACACCGCCUCGACCCCGUGGCCCAGUCUUUAUAGGUGGUGUUUUACUUUACAAACAUUGUCUUCUUUAACCCUCAUAAAAACUGGGGUUCCCAGAGCUUAAAUAAGACGACCAAGGUCAUGUGGCCGAUACAUGGCAGCUCUGAUCCCAGUCCCAAACUCAGACUCCAGAGACUAUUCUUCCUGACUCCACAUGGCGGCUUCCCCAAAAAGAGGACUUUCAAGGGAACAAGGUGCUCCCUGGGCUCAUGACUGUACCUGAGAGUCCAGGAGGGGAGCCAGGUGAGUUCUCUUUGAAGAGUUUGGGUGAAGAGGUUGUUCUCAGAGAUGCUAUUACUUACUUUUCAAAGAAGGAGUCCCAGCCGGGGACAAAGCCAGGCUCCCGAGUAAACCACAGCACUGUCAUCAGGAUGAAGAAAAAUCCAGUCACCAUUUCAGGGUAACUAUAAAAUAAAACAGAAAGACCCACUCUGGGACCUGGGGCAUCUCCGCUGGCUCUGGCCCUUUGCUUUGGGAUGCGUCUGUACUCGGAGCUCCAGCACCAGAGAGGAGAGCACAGUUACUGCUUAAUCACUUGGACCUUCCCCCGGAAAGGGGAAGGGCAGCCCCCAGAGUUGGGGGCAUCUCCGAAUGCCUGGAUUUAGAGUUGAGUAGGGAAUGGCUGAGAACAAGGCUGCUUCUGUGGGCACGUGACCUGCUGCGCUUUCUCCUGGGGAAGGAAAGUGGAGGAAGAGCUGAUUCCCACCUAACGGCUCCCAGCUUUUCAU